rnacentral:RNase_P_RNA from 1 species
UGAGCUGGUCCAGGCAAUCGCGCGUUCGCUUCCUGGCGAACGUGAGGAAAGUCCGGGCUCCACAGGACAGGGCGCCAGGUAAUCCCUGGGGGGCGUGAGCCCACGGAAAGUGCAGCAGAGAGCAGACCGCCGCGCUGAAAGGCGUGGCAAGGGUGAAACGGUGCGGUAAGAGCGCACCGCGAGCGUUGGCAACAACCUCGGCUAGGCAAACCCCGCCCGGAGCAAGGCCAAAUAGGAGUCAUGGCGCGGUCCGCGUCCGACUCGGGUAGGCUGCUUCAGGCGACCGGUGACGGUCGUCGCAGAUGAAUGAUUGCCCACGACAGAACCCGGCUUAUGGACCGGCUCACCAC